GUAGGUGGCAAGCGUUGUCCGGAUUUAUUGGGUUUAAAGGGUGCGUAGGCGGCCUAUUAAGUCAGUGGUGAAAUAUCUCAGCUCAACUGAGAAGGUGCCAUUGAUACUGAUGGGCUUGAGUACAGAUGAGGUAGGCGGAAUUGACGGUGUAGCGGUGAAAUGCUUAGAUAUCGUCAAGAACACCUAUAGCGAAGGCAGCUUACUAGGCUGUAACUGACGCUGAGGCACGAAAGUGUGGGGAUCAAACAGGAUUAGAUACCCUGGUAGUCCACACUGUAAACGUUGAUUACUCGCUGUGUGCGAUAUACAGUACGCGGCCAAGCGAAAGCGCUAAGUAAUCCACCUGGGGAGUACGCCGGCAACGGUG
rnacentral:rRNA from 1 species